rnacentral:rRNA from 1 species
CCUACGGGAGGCAGCAGUCGAGAAUCAUUCACAAUGGGGGAAACCCUGAAGCAGCAACGCCGCGUGGAGGAUGAAGGUUUUCGGAUUGUAAACUCCUUUUGUUAGAGAAGAUAAUGACGGUAUCUAACGAAUAAGCACCGGCUAACUCCGUGCCAGCAGCCGCGGUAAUACGGAGGGUGCAAGCGUUACCCGGAAUUACUGGGCGUAAAGGGAGCGUAGGCGGGAUAGCAAGUCAGAUGUGAAAUCCUAUGGCUUAACCAUAGAACUGCAUUUGAAACUGUUAUUCUAGAGUAUGGGAGAGGUAGGUGGAAUUCGUGGUGUAGCGGUGAAAUGCGUAGAGAUCAAGAGGAAUACUCAUUGCGAAGGCGACCUGCUAGAACGUAACUGACGCUGAUGCUCGAAAGCGUGGGGAGCAAACAGGAUUAGAUACCCGGGUAGUC